rnacentral:rRNA from 1 species
GAUGAACGCUAGCGGCAGGCCUAACACAUGCAAGUCGAGGGGCAGCACGUCUUCGGAUGGUGGCGACCGGCGCACGGGUGCGUAACGCGUAUGCAACCUACCUCUUACAGUGGGAUAGCCCGGAGAAAUUUGGAUUAAUACCGCAUAGUAUACAGAUUCAGCAUUGGGACUGUAUUAAACAUUUANGGGUAANAGAUGGGCAUGCGUUCUAUUAGUUAGUUGGAGUGGUAACGGCACCCCAAGACAGCGAUAGAUAGGGCCCUGAGAGGGGGAUCCCCCANACUGGUACUGAGACACGGACCAGACUCCUACGGGA